GACAAUGAUGUAAUAAUCCUAUUCCAUUGCUGAGUACUCACAAUGUGGAAAAGUGCAAACUGAUGUU